GUACACGCUGUGACUAGCAUAUCAAUAAGCGGAGGAAAAGAAACUAACAAGGAUUCCCCUAGUAACGGCGAGUGAAGCGGGAAGAGCUCAAAUUUGAAAUCUUAAAGGGUUUCCCUUUACGAAUUGUAGUUUAAAGAAGUGUUUUCUGUUGAGGUUUUGGUAAAAGUUCUUUGGAAUAGGGACAUCAUAGAGGGUGAGAAUCCCGUAUUUGAUCCUUUACUUUCAACUUUGUGAUACACUUUCAAAGAGUCGGAUUGUUUGGGAAUGCAGUCCAAAAUGGGUGGUAAAUUUCAUCUAAAGCUAAAUAUUGGCGAGAGACCGAUAGCGAACAAGUACCGUGAGGGAAAGAUGAAAAGAACUUUGAAAAGAGAGUUAAACAGUACGUGAAAUUGUCAAAAGGGAAGCGUUUGACACCAGUGUUGUUUUUCUGAAAAUCAAUUAAAGAACUGUUUAUGCUAAGCUGUUUAGACUUUAUCAGCUAACUGUUUAGUUUUGAGCUUUUCUUUAAUGCACUUUUCAGUUAACAAGUCAACAUCAAUUUCUUUUGCUGUAAAAAAGCUUGAGGAAGGUGGCUUGAGAUUCGUCUUAAGUGUUUAUAGCCUCUUGCCUAUGCAGUCGGAGAGAUUGAGGUCUGCAGCGUAGAUCCUUCGGGGCUAAAUGCAUUUGUGCUAAGUUAUAGCAUUUUAUAGACAACUUGUUGACUAUGAUUUGUCUUGUAGCUUACUCGCUUAUGUUAUUUUACCUACGCUUAGGAUGUUGAGUCGUAGAGCACGCAG
rnacentral:rRNA from 1 species